CACAGGCAUUUCUGGCUCCAGACCUUGAGGUUCACAAUCAUUUCCACAGCUGUGUCAGUGCCCAGCAUGCUAAGGAUCCCGGCUAGGCAGCCUUCCUACUGUUCAGAAAAUUUCACUCCUACGGCUUCUUGGCUGGUUUUGAAGAAUCACUGUAUGAGCUCAGAGUCUUAGCUCCAUGGCAAACAUGUCUGCCCCUAUUGGAAGAUGAAGUUGAUAGGUGACAACUGUGUCCAGCAACCCCAAGACCAAGCCACUUAACAAUAGUACCUGUGAAGAAGCCAGCACCAAAGAAGACAGCUUAACUCACUGUGGAGAAGGAGGCAAAGAAGGCUAACACAGGCAACCCAUCACAGGGAAUGAGGACUCCAGGAAGUCCCUCUCACCAGCAGACCCUUGUCUUGCCUACCUAUUCCUCAGCCUUGUCUGCACUUCUGUGAGAGUCAAGUAAAAAUUACCAUUUUUCUCUGUUCCCUAUGAGAGAGAGCACACCUACGCAGGAUACUUUCCAAUACUGAAGAGGCUUAGCUAGAUAGACACCCAGAAGCAAGACUUUCAGUCCCCUGCUCUGAGCAGUGGCUGAGAAAGGCUGAGGGAAGUCAGGGAGACUUGUUAAGCAAGGGCUGUGGAGAGGGAGCCAAAAGAGCUCAGAACAGCAUCCCUGCACUAAAGCCUCUUUCUACAAGGAGAAAUGAAGGGAAGCCAAUGAGCUGAGGACAGGAGCACUGGAGAAGACUGUCACAGAGGACUAUCAAGACAAACAAGGUAAGGAUCAAGGUUCUAGUUGCCCCUUCACCUACUGACCUGCCCUGUGUCCUCUAACUUUCCAACUGCCAUGUUGAUGCCUUGCUUCCCAUUUGUGGGCAUUAAACCCUAUAAUGAAAAUAAUCCUCAUCCUUAAGCUCAAUAACAGUUUGUGUGUGCGGGGGGAGGUUCAAAGGCAGAAGAUGUGAACUUACAGAAGUAAGAACUAGAAGAAAAUGCAGGAAAGGCUGUCUGUAGAUUUAUUGAGGGGGAGGUAAAUAUUUGUAUCAGCAAGUUUGUUCCUGCUUGCAGUUCAACAAGGAACAUUUUAGAAGCUUGCCAGAAAGAAAGGAACAAAGAAAGGAAGGAAGAGAGAAAGAAAGAAAGAAAGAAAGGAAGGAAGGAAGAAAGAAAGAAAGAAGGCAUCAACAUCCACCUGAUGGAAUCAGGCCAAAAAUAGAAAUAUAUUGAAGUUUUAAGGGGCAUUAUAUUGAAAUAUGCAGACAGUAAGGUUAAUUCAGAACCAUGUUCAAGGUAUUCUUUAGCAUUGUGAAUAUAAAGUAAUAUUCUACACAAACUUUAUACUUUCUUUUAAAUGGAGUUCAGCUUCUGAAGGGAAUUAUGUGAUACCUAUUGACUUGUGUUUUUGGUCUAGAAAACAGACUGGGGUGGUGAGGGACUGAAGAAAUGACAGACACACAAACAUGUGUACAGAAAAGCUGGGUCAAGUACGCUGUAUACUCUCUAAUGGAGUGGCAACCACUACUGUACAACCUGGAACAUUUAUUAUGCACAUUAUUAUGAACAGCGUGAGGAGGAUGAGGAGGAGUUAAUCUCAGCCACAGGUCUUUGCAGGUACACAGUCUCAGGCUGUUAGCAUCCAGGAAGCUGCCGUUGGGUAGGUUUUACAAACACCACAACACUUACACUCAGAUGGGAGGAAGAUUUGCCAAUCCCAAGCCUGAUCUGUAUGGAAAAGGCUUUGCCCCCACAUGAAUCUGAGGUCUUGGUUCUUGACAUGGCUGGCUCAUGUCAAAUAAUAAACAUGCACUCAGUCAGGACUUUUCUAAUACCCUACAAUACCAUUCUCUGGAACACGGAAGAGAAAUUCUUUAACAUCGUAGUGUCUUUACAAAAUGGGAUUCCUUUCCCCUUUUGAGAGGUUUACAAUCAUUGCAGAGCAGAUGUGGAGAGUUUUACUCAGGUUUGUAAGGCUCAGUGCAAACUACCUCAUGCCCUGGGCUGGAAAAAACAUAGGAGAAACCCCAGGAGAACGUUAACCCCCUGUAUGAUCUUCUUCCAAAGCCACUGGUGACAGAAUGAUGGAGAGAACCAAAUACUACAGUUUUGAUAAAGGAAUGUAGCAGUAACCCGACUUCUAACAACACUCUGCUAUACCUGUAGAUCAGUGUUCUGCUUAGCUACCAUCUGAGCUGCUUCCUCUUGUAACAGAUGAGAA